rnacentral:rRNA from 1 species
GUCCUAGCCGUAACGGUGAGCACUAGGUGUUGGAGGCAUCGACCCUCCAGUGCCGCAGCUAACGCAUUAAGUGCUCCGCCUGGGGAGUACGGCCGCAAGGUUGAAACUCAAAGGAAUUGACGGGGCCCGCACAAGCGGUGGAGCAUGUGGUUCAAUUCGACGCGACGCGAAGAACCUUACCCAGGCUUGACAUGCACUGGACGGGUGUGGAAACUCACCUUCCUUCGGGACCGUGCACAGGUGCUGCAUGGCUGUCGU